CCUACGGGGGGCAGCAGUAGGGAAUUUUGCGCAAUGGGCGAAAGCCUGACGCAGCAAAGCCGCGUGAACGAGACGCCCUUCGGGGUGUAAAGUUCUGUCAGUGGGACGAACAAUGACGGUACCCACAGAGGAAGCACGGGGUAACUCCGUGCCAGCAGCCGCGGUAAUACGGGGGGCGCAAGCGUUGUCCCGAAUCAUUGGGCGUAAAGAGUUCGUAGGCGGCAUGUAAAGUCAGGUGGUAAAGGCGCAGGCUCAACCUGUGUAUAGCACUUGAUACUUGCAAGCUGGAGUGCGGUAGAGGUAAGGGGAAUGCGUGGUGUAGCGGUGAAAUGCUUAGAUAUCAGGAAGAACAUCGAUGGCGUAAGCGCUUUACUGGGGCGUAAUUGACGCUGAGGAACGAAAGCCAGGGUAGCGAAUGGGAUUAGAUACCCGGGUAGUC
rnacentral:rRNA from 1 species